CCCGACCCCCGAACCCCCUUUUCCAUUCCUGCCGCUGUUGGAUUUUCCCGAGCCGCAUCUGCUCCGCGCUGCCAGCCCGGGGCUCUUGAACUUCAGUCCCCAGCAGCCACAGAGGUCGCUUCUGAGCUCCACACGAAGCCUUUUUUUAAUUCAUUAUUUAUUUUCCCCCAGCUCAGGCUCUCCCUCCCUCAUGGCCGGAGUGGAAAAGCACGUUUAAAUCCCGAACUCGGCUUUCCCACGUGGUGUCUCGCUGAGCUGCUGUCACAGCCACGCCGCGCUCUCACAGGGCACCGGACUUCUCCCCUGCCCUGCCGGGAGGGCACAAGGAGGCAGCCUUCAUCGAGCGAGGAGAGCGAAUCUUGGCAAAAAGAGCACCGAAGGAUGUGAACCCCUUGGAAAAUUCCACUUCCUGCCCAGCACUGCGUGUCCUUGGGUCUCUCACUCAUUCCCAUGCACUUAACGAGGGAUUUCUGCCUCAGGCCACCACACCAACUUUCUAAAUAAAUGCCGCGCACACCCGAGCGCCGUGCUCUGC
rnacentral:lncRNA from 1 species